GAAUAGUUAGUUAAUUCUAUUCGGUAGUCUAAUUCUGUUAUUAGUGCUGCAGUUGCCCCUCACAGCUGACUCUUGUAAACAUGGCGGCCACGGCUUGUCGGGGACUCUUCUCCAUCGCAAAACACGCCUCCAAGUCUGUGGUGCCACGGGUGGUUGGGACAAGACUAUGCAGCACUGACCUCCACCCCACUAUUCGACCUGUGAACGCUGUGCAGAGGCAAACACUCACUGAAUUUGGCCAGUAUGUAGCUGAGUGCUUGCCAAAAUAUGUUCAGAAGGUUCAGAUCACAGCCGGCAAUGAGCUUGAGGUGUUGAUCGCCCCGGAGGGAGUGGUGCCUGUCAUCACAUUCCUUAAGGACCACACUAAUUCACAGUUCACUAGCCUGGCUGACUUGUGUGGUGUGGACAUGCCUUCCAGAGCAUACCGCUUUGAGGUUGUGUACAACUUGCUGUCUCUCCGUUACAACUCCAGGAUUCGAGUGAAGACAUACACAGAUGAGUUGACUCCACUGGAGAGCAUUACUGAUGUCUUCAAGGGAGCAAACUGGUACGAACGUGAGGUAUGGGACAUGUUCGGGGUAUUCUUUGCAAACCACCCAGACCUCCGAAGGAUCCUCACUGACUAUGGGUUUGAGGGCCACCCAUUCAGAAAGGACUUCCCCUUGACUGGCUAUGUGGAGUGUCGGUAUGAUGAUGAAGUGAAGCGUGUUGUGGUGGAGCCAGUGGAGCUUGCCCAAGAGUACCGCAAGUUUGAUCUCUCGGCCCCAUGGGAGCAAUUCCCCAACUUCAGGGAGCAGGCAGCUGCUGAAGUACCCAUCAAGGAAGAAGAGAAGUGAACAUGUGUAGGAACAUUCACAAUUUAUUGAGAACACUUCAGAAAAUGAUCUUAUCAGCAUGAAUUAAGCGAGGGACACUGGACAAGGGGAACAAAAAUCCAUGAAAAAAAAAUCCCCACUGAGAAGCCAGUCCCAGAAAAGGGUCCAAAGCAGUAGUCAAAAAUUGAAGGAUCAUCAUGUCUUGAAACCUCCCUCUUGAAGGAAUUCAAAUCAUAGGAAGGUGGAAAUACAGAAGCAGGCAGGGAGUUCCUUAGUUUACCAAGGGAUGAAUGAUUGAGAAUACUGGGCAACUCUUGCAUUAGAGAAGUGGACAGAAUAAGGGUGAGAGAAAGAAGAGUUGUCCAGCCAGGCUGCGGGAGGAGGGGAGGCAUGCAGUUAGCAAGAUCAGAAGAGCAGUUAGCAUGAAAAUAGUGGUAGAAGACAGCUAGAGAUGUAACAUUGUAGCAAUGAGAGAGAGGCUGAAGACAGUCAGAGGAGAGAAAUUGAGACAAAAAGGUUUUGAUUCCACUGUGCAGAAAAGCGAUGUAUGUGGAACUCCCCCAGACAUGUGAAGCAUACUCCAUACAUGGAUGGAUAAGGCCCCUGUACAGUUAGCAGCUGGGAGGGUGAGAAAAACUGGUGGAGAUGUCUCAGAAUGCCUAACUUUAUAGAAGCUGCUUUAGCUAGAGAUGAGAUGUGAAGUUUCCAGUUCAGAUUAUAAGUAAAGGAUAGAUCGAGUGUAUAUAUAUAUAUAUAUAUAUAUAUAUAUAUAUAUAUAUAUAUAUAUAUAUAUAUAUAUAUAUAUAUAUGUGGAAGGAAAUUAUGGAAGGAAAUUAUCUGAAUAUUUAUGUAACAUUUAUUUCCACAUUUCACACAAGAAAACACACAGAAUAAGAGUGGUAUUAUGAAGUAGUCAUUGUAUAUCUUAAAUCUAGAAUACAGACUACCACUAUAUAAAUCUUUGGACAUGGUAAUAAAUUUACAAUGUAAAUACACAUUCCUCAUGCGGAGAUGAGUGUUGGUGAUCAACUUCAGACUUCACAAACACUAAAACAUUCUCUUAGCACUAGGAAAGUGUGCAUUUUUUAACUAACCAUCCUUUGUUUAUUCCCUCAGUUUUGUCCCUCCCCCACAAGAACAAGAAAUUUAUACCCAUGUGAUGUCCAUUCCUAUGAAUGAAAUUACUCUUUAGAUCACUGCAUACAGUAUAGAACUACUGUACAGAACUGAGAAAUUCUAAGCUUCUCAGUUUUCUUUGCACUUAAAAAAGUUGUCAGAAGGAAGAGUCGAGUACAAAAAUUGACAUUUUUAAAACAAGAUAAUGCUCAGGUGGCUGUCCACACCAAGGGUGAGACUUUUUAGAGGUAGAGCUAUCACUUUAACAUCAUAUAAAUUUUUUUUGUCCUACAUUAACCCACAAAGGCAACAUUGCCUCAUUAAAAUACUGGAGUGCAUGACUUUUAGGCAAUACAAAAAUUUCAUAAUUUGCACCCUCAAUUUUCUAUAUUUAGGAAAACCUAGACAAAAUUAUAAGUUCAAUACACUGCAAAUAUCUGAUUUAUCCCUUUUUUUGCCAGCAGAAGAGUUAGUAAUUGUUAAUUUACAUACUUCACCAGCUUUACUCCGAAAAUCACUUUCCUAGUGAUUUAUCUGUAAAAAUACCACUGAAGCAAGAACUGUAAUGUUGCUUUAGAAUUAAGAACUCUCAAGUGAGAACUCUCAAGGACAUGUUGGCACUGUGAUCUAGCAAAUAUCUCUAAGUUCCCACAGGAGUUUGACAGCCACGUAGAUGCAUUAAGCUAUUCUUUAAAGCUUCCUUCACAGCUCCCUAAAACCCACUAACAUGUGAAUGAGUAAAUAACAUGGAAACUGCCUUCACAAUGAUAAUGAAACAGUAAAUUAUAACUAAUAUUUAAGCCCUACAGUAUGGUCUGUUGCUAUUCCCUAUAUUUCUGCAUAGUAAUUUCUAAAAACUUGCUAAGGAGUACCAUAUACUCAUUAAAUAUACAAAUACUGACCAAAUAAAAUAAAAUUUAAGGAGCCAAGAUAUUUUGAAUGAAUACAGGUUGCCACAUCACACAUUACUGGUACACAGAACCUUAAAAAGAACAGAAUAAAAAUGUUUAAAAAUAUACAAAUAAAGUCAUCCUUCCAUUGUGAUUCCCUUAUGGAAUCCCCCACAUUUGAAAACUAAUAAUUCUAGAAAUGUAGCAUUCCCUAUGCUCAAGUGUAAAAGUCACUGGUGAACAAUAGAGAACAAAAAAAAAUAAAUGAAAAUAAAAAAAAUAAAUUGCACAAGAGGAAAUCCAACA